rnacentral:rRNA from 1 species
CCUACGGGUGGCAGCAGUGAGGAAUAUUGGUCAAUGGACGAGAGUCUGAACCAGCCAAGUAGCGUGAAGGAUGACUGCCCUAUGGGUUGUAAACUUCUUUUAUAUGGGAAUAAAAUGUUCCACGUGUGGGAUUUUGUAUGUACCAUAUGAAUAAGGAUCGGCUAACUCCGUGCCAGCAGCCGCGGUAAUACGGAGGAUCCGAGCGUUAUCCGGAUUUAUUGGGUUUAAAGGGAGCGUAGGUGGAUUGUUAAGUCAGUUGUGAAAGUUUGCGGGUCAACCGUAAAAUUGCAGUUGAAACUGGCAGUCUUGAGUACAGUAGAGGUGGGCGGAAUUCGUGGUGUAGCGGUGAAAUGCUUAGAUAUCACGAAGAACUCCGAUUGCGAAGGCAGUUCACUGGACUGCAACCGACACUGAGGCUCGAAAGUGUGGGUAUCAAACAGGAUUAGAUACCCGUGUAGUC